rnacentral:lncRNA from 1 species
GCCAACUCCUCCACUCCUUCCAUGCUCUCCAUUAUUCAUUUUUUUUAUUUUGACUAUUGAAUUUUUGAUAAUUCUCUCUACUAGCAAUUUUUUUUUAUCACUUCCCUCAAUCUGUCGUCCCUUCCCCUACUCUUCCAAUAUUUCUAUUUUCUUCCUUUUUGCAACUGUGAGCUUCUGUCGCUCCUUUGAUUUUUUUUCUUUUCUUCUUUGUAUUUUCCUUUUAACCAUUUUUUAAUUUAAUCUCACAACCAAUCCUUGAUUUCUUCUUCCGUUGCCUUUCUUCUAUUCUCUUCUUGUAAUGUUAUUUUCAUUCGGAUAUAAACCUUUUGUUAGCAUCAUCCCCUCUGUGUAAAUUUCAUUUUUUUACGGGUGUCAUAUCCCAAUUUUUAACAACUUUGUUUGUGUGUAUGGUAAGGAGUCUGAUUUAAGUUUCGUAAUUUUCUGUGGGGAAUUUUUAGUACAUUUUUUUCUUUUGUUCUAAUUGUUUAGUUUUCUUGGCAUUGUUUUGAUUGUGUGAAAUACAUGUUAGGUAAAGAGCGUGAAAUACCUAACCCUUUGGUGAAUUAGGUGUUGAUUGUUUGCUACUUUUCGGGGUAAGUAAUCGAUGUCUUAGUUUAGGGGAUGGUGUUGGUUUAGUUUCAAGGGCUAAAUGUUUUUAUUUUUGUAGUGCAUGUGAUUUUAAUGGUUUCGUUAUGGUAAUCGUGUGUAGGUUCCAAUUUCAUUGCAAUUGAGACGACGUGUUAAAAGAAAAGUGUGUGUUCUAACCUCAUAUGUUUGUGUGUGUUUCUGACUAAAAAAAUGGAGAAAAAGCGUGAAAAUCUAAAAAACAUAUGAAAAAUUGAAUCUGUCAAUUGAUGUCAUACGGUCGUGUGGGACACACGGGAAUGCGGGCUCAUUUUAACUGAUUGUGGUUCUUGCUUAGGCCAAGUGUUUGAAUCUAAAAUCUGAAAUUAGAAUGUAACCACUCGAAACCUUGUUAUUUGUGAAACAUGGUGUACAUACAUUAGUUUUAAUAUGUUCCCAUUAGUAAAUUCUGAGUAAACUAUGUUAUGUUUUGCUCCAUAUGUGGUAUGUAUAUAAGACAUGAAUCUAUUUUAAUAUGAAUUCUUGUGUUAUGAUAAGAUUAUAUGCAUGAACAUGUGAUAUGAUUUUUCCGCAUGCAUUGGGGUGGAAUAUGGAUAUCUGAUGGAGGAAGUGCGUUUCUGGCAGUUUUAUUACAAUUUUAGCGGUAUAUCGCAACAUAUAGUCUAGCUAUUUUACUGUAACUCUGGCUAUAUUUCUGUAAUAUAUGUGUAUUCUGGCAGGACAGUUACAAACUUUCUGAGUGGCAUAUGACCACAUUCUGGUCUGAUGGUUGGAUGGGUUCUUGUAGCCAUAUUUGGUGUGAUUGGUUGGAUGGAAUAGUGUGUACUAGAUGGGGGUAAGAUUAAUUCUAUUUUGAUAAUUGCAUCUACACAUGUGAGAUAGCUGAUCUAUCUGUUUUGAUAUAUAUGUAUAUAAGCAUGUUUUCAAGUGAUUUCUACUCAUGGGUUGAGGUACACACUGGGCUUUAACUCACUCUAUUUGUUUGCUAUUUUUUAGGAGAUCCUCAAACUUAGGAUUUGGCGGCACUCAAGGGCUCGGUUUUGUUCACUAUUUUUAAUUCUUUUAGAAACUUUUGCUUGGAUUUUAUGGACUGGAUUGUCGAACUAUUUUAUUUUUCGGACAUUAACUUUGGUUUGAAAUUGGUUAAAUGUUUUUAGUUAGUUGAGAAGUUUUUUUUUUUUUUGUAAUUGGAAUGAUUUCUGACGAAACAAAUCAAAUAAAC